AUUGAACGCUGGCGGCAGGCUUAACACAUGCAAGUCGAGCGGGGGAGGUUGCUUCGGUAACUGACCUAGCGGCGGACGGGUGAGUAAUGCUUAGGAAUCUACCUAUUAGUGGGGGGCAACAUUCCGAAAGGAAUGCUAAUACCGCAUACGCCCUACGGGGGAAAGCAGGGGAUCUUCGGACCUUGCGCUAAUAGAUGAGCCUAAGUCGGAUUAGCUAGUUGGUGGGGUAAAGGCCUACCAAGGCGACGAUCUGUAGCGGGUCUGAGAGGAUGAUCCGCCACACUGGGACUGAGACACGGCCCAGACUCCUACGGGAGGCAGCAGUGGGGAAUAUUGGACAAUGGGCGGAAGCCUGAUCCAGCCAUGCCGCGUGUGUGAAGAAGGCCUUUUGGUUGUAAAGCACUUUAAGCGAGGAGGAGGCUCUUAAGGUUAAUACCCUUGAUGAGUGGACGUUACUCGCAGAAUAAGCACCGGCUAACUCUGUGCCAGCAGCCGCAGUAAAAC
rnacentral:rRNA from 1 species